rnacentral:rRNA from 1 species
UCCGUAGGGUGCAAGCGUUAAUCGGAAUUACUGGGCGUAAAGCGCGCGCAGGCGGCGAUCUACGUCUGGGGUGAAAGCCCGGAGCUCAACUCCGGGACUGCCUUGGAUACGGGAUCGCUUGAGAAUUGGAGAGGCAAGGGGAAUUCCACGUGUAGCGGUGAAAUGCGUAGAUAUGUGGAGGAACACCUGUGGCGAAGGCGCCGUGCUGGCCAAUUUCUGACGCUGAGGCGCGAAAGCGUGGGGAGCAAACAGG